CUGCUCUGCUCUGACAGGCAGAAUAGAGCUGCGGGCCGGCCUCUGUGAUCAGCUUUGUGGGUCUAAAUAGACCACAAGUUGAUCACUGUAGUACAAAAAAAGGAAACGUUUACAUAAACACUUACCUGCACCCAGGUAGCACCCGGUCAGCUGUGCUGUAAACCAGCAUCUCAGUUUACAGCAUAAAGCAGCUGACAGGGUCACAGACCAGGAGCCCGGCGACCAACUGACAGGAGAAGAGAGCACACUGAUCACCGGGCAGCAGGAAUUCUUCAACUGCACGGAGGAGCUGUCUACAGACACAGACUCAGGUCUCCAUAGAGGAUGAAGAUCUGGCAGGAACCAGAGUCCAGAGUGUAGACUGAAGGCCCCUUGUAACAAUGAGCCCUCCAGCAGCUGCCCAGCACGGAGAGAGAGAAGAGGAGGAUAGAUUCUACUCAGACAUUAAGUUUCAUUUCAAGUGUCCGAUCAUACCAGACCUUCUGACAGCUACCAGGCUGCCCUGUUACUGGGGAGCACUGAACAAGCACCAGGCAGACAUUCUGCUAGUAGGCUGCCCUGAUGGCACUUUUCUCCUGCGAAACUCAUCCCAGGAUGGUUGUGCGUUUGCCGCCACUUUCCGCAGGCGAGGGCGCACACGCCAUGCCCGUGUCCAGUACAGAGACAAACACUUCAGCUUCCACUGGGGCAGCUUCCAAUCUCCUUCCAUUUCCAGCCUCCUGGAGCAUUACAAUGACCCCAGAUGUUGCACUUUUUUCGAGCCACUUCUCUCCACCCCUAUAAAUCGCACUAAUCCGCUGAGCCUCCAAGAGCUGUGCCGGGCCUCAAUCAAUGCGGUCAUUCCUUAUGACCAUAUAGGAGAACUCCCCAUGCCAAGAGCCAUGAAGGAUUACCUAUGGGAGUACCACUACAAGGAGGCACUGCCGGCUACUGAGGAUGACCUCUGGUGACACCAGGCUAUGAUUUAAAGGAGUCCACUCAAUUUGUUUUCAUUCGUUUUAUCGGAUAAUUAAGAUAUUUCACAAACUGUUGUUUAUUUUUUAUGAUGUCUAACUUUGCAAACAAUUAGAUACGGUAAGCCUGGCCUGGCCAAAUCCCAAGACCCAUGAGGUCAAUGGGUGCUCACCUUACCUGUCCUAUGUAAGUUUCUGCUGCCUCUUCAAUCCUACAUUAUUAUUUUGUCCACCUCUGUGUUGGGCGCAACUUUUAAUUAUUAUUGUGUUGUUUUUCCCCAUAAAUGUUAGUAG